AUUACUAGCCAUAUCACUCUGAAACUCAUAACUGGCAACUUACUGAAGAUAAGCAGGUGUGAGCCUGGUCAGUACCUGGAUGUGAUACCUCCUGGGAAAAACUAAGGUUGCUGCUGGAA
rnacentral:rRNA from 1 species